GGAGGUAUAGCUCAAAGUGGUAGAGCACAUGCUUAGCAUACAUGAGGUCCUGGGAUCAAUUCCCAGUAUGUCCU
rnacentral:tRNA from 1 species